UAGUCCACACCGUAAACGAUGAUUACUAGUUGGUGGGUUGCUUGCCGACUCACUGACGAAGCUAACGCAUUAAGUAAUCCGCCUGGGGAGUACGGCCGCAAGGUUAAAACUCAAAGAAAUUGACGGGGGCCCGCACAAGCGGUGGAGUAUGUGGUUUAAUUCGAUGCAACGCGUAGAACCUUACCUGGUCUUGACAUCCCGCGCUAUCCUAAGAAAUUAGGAGUUCCUUCGGGACGCGGUGACAGGUGCUGCAUGGCUGUCGUCAGCUCGUGUCGUGAGAUGUCGGGUUAAGUCCCGCAACGAGCGCAACCCUUGCCAUUAGUUGCCAGCAUUUAGUUGGGCACUCUAAUGGGACCGCUUGCCGAUAAGGCAGAGGAAGGUGGGGAUGACGUCAAGUCCGCAUGGCCCUUACGACCAGGGCUACACACGUACUACAAUGGCUUGGACAAAGCGCUGCUAAGUAGCAAUACCAAGCGAAUCGCAAAAACCAGUCUCAGUUCGGAUUGGAGU
rnacentral:rRNA from 1 species